rnacentral:rRNA from 1 species
UACGUAGGGGGCAAGCGUUGUCCGGAUUCAUUGGGCGUAAAGAGCGUGUAGGCGGCCAGGUAGGUCGGUUGUGAAAACUGGAGGCUCAACCUUCAGAGGUCGACCGAAACCAUCUGGCUAGAGUCCGGGAGAGGAGAGUGGAAUUCCCGGUGUAGCAGUGAAAUGCGUAGAUAUCGGGAGGAACAUCUGUGGCGAAGGCGACACCCUGGACCAGCACUGACACUGAGGCACGAAAGCGUGGGGAGCAAACAGG